rnacentral:rRNA from 1 species
GCGUCGUCUUCAGAGUUUGAUCCUGGCUCAGGAUGAACGCUGGCGGCGUGCUUAACACAUGCAAGUCGAACGGACUUAUUUUGAAAGCUUGCUUUUAAAAUAAGUUAGUGGCGGACGGGUGAGUAACGCGUGGGUAACCUGCCUCAUACAGGGGGAUAACAGUUAGAAAUGACUGCUAAUACCGCAUAAGCGCACAGUACCGCAUGGUACAGUGUGAAAAACUCCGGUGGUAUGAGAUGGACCCGCGUCUGAUUAGCUAGUUGGUGAGGUAACGGCCCACCAAGGCGACGAUCAGUAGCCGGCCUGAGAGGGUGAACGGCCACAUUGGGACUGAGACACGGCCCAA